rnacentral:rRNA from 1 species
CAAGCGACGUGUAACAUUUCNAGCUUGCUNNNNGAUGACGAGUGGCGGACGGGUGAGUAAUGCUUGGGAACUUGCCUUUGCGAGGGGGAUAACAGUUGGAAACGACUGCUAAUACCGCAUAAUGUCUUCNGACCAAACGGGGCUUCGGCUCCGGCGCAAAGAGAGGCCCAAGUGAGAUUAGCUAGUUGGUAAGGUAACGGCUUACCAAGGCGACGAUCUCUAGCUGUUCUGAGAGGAAGAUCAGCCACACUGGGACUGAGACACGGCCCAGACUCCUACGGGAGGCAGCAGUGGGGAAUAUUGCACAAUGGGGGAAACCCUGAUGCAGCCAUGCCGCGUGUGUGAAGAAGGCCUUCGGGUUGUAAAGCACUUUCAGUUGUGAGGAAAAGUUAGUAGUUAAUACCUGCUAGCCGUGACGUUAACAACAGAAGAAGCACCGGCUAACUCCGUGCCAGCAGCCGCGGUAAUACGGAGGGUGCGAGCGUUAAUCGGAAUUACUGGGCGUAAAGCGCACGCAGGCGGUUUGUUAAGCUAGAUGUGAAAGCCCCGGGCUCAACCUGGGAUGGUCAUUUAGAACUGGCAGACUAGAGUCUUGGAGAGGGGAGUGGAAUUCCAGGUGUAGCGGUGAAAUGCGUAGAUAUCUGGAGGAACAUCAGUGGCGAAGGCGACUCCCUGGCCAAAGACUGACGCUCAUGUGCGAAAGUGUGGGUAGCGAACAGGAUUAGAUACCCUGGUAGUCCACACCGUAAACGCUGUCUACUAGCUGUGUGUGNCUUUAAGACGUGCGUAGCGAAGCUAACGCGCUAAGUANACCGCCUGGGGAGUACGGGCCGCAAGGGUUAAAACUCNAAUGAAUUGACGGGGGGCCGCA